GCCGCGCAUGCGUGUCUGGCUGGGAGAGCUCGCCGCCACGUGCACUUGCCGGGGACGGAGGAAGGAAGGAUUCGGCCCGGCGGCCAGCCGAGCCGAGCAGGAGGACAAGCACCAAGGAUGACGGAGCAUUGAGGAAGGAUUCAGGAUUCUCUUCCUCCUAGAAAAAUGAACAAAAAAACAGGAUGAAGGCCUGCAGGAGGGACUUUGCAAGAGCUUUGUCUACAUAUGAGCAAGCAUCCAGGGAAGGAGCUAUCGACGAACAAGGAACAAAGAUUAUAUGAGCAAGCCCGGUUAUAAAAUGAAGCUGCUUUAUACUGCCAAAGACAAAUGGUGCCCGCCAAGAACACAACUAGAGUCCUUUACCUGGAGCCAUUCAGAAGAUUAAAGAGUCUGCUUUGGGAGAUUACACCUUCUGGGAUGACUGCUUGCUUUUGUCCUCCGGACAGAUCACCUCAUCAAAAGCCACUUAGAGCCUGGUU